rnacentral:rRNA from 1 species
UACGUAGGGGGCUAGCGUUGUCCGGAUUUAUUGGGCGUAAAGAGCGUGUAGGCGGCCAGGUAGGUCUGGUGUGAAAACUCGAGGCUCAACCUCGAGACGCCGGUGGAAACCGUAAAGCUAGAGUCCGGAAGAGGAGAGUGGAAUUCCUGGUGUAGCGGUGAAAUGCGCAGAUAUCAGGAGGAACACCGGUGGCGAAGGCGGAUCUCUGGGACGUUACUGACGCUGAGACGCGAAAGCGUGGGGAGCAAACAGG